AGUGAACGCUGGCGGCGUGCUUAACACAUGCAAGUCGAACGAGAACGGAAUAUAGCUUGCUAUAUUUGUCAGCUAAGUGGCGCACGGGUGAGUAAUAUAUAGAUAACCUGCCCUUAAGAAAGGAAUGACAGUUGGAAACGACUGCUAAUGCCCUAUAUGCCUUUAAUACAUAAGUAUGCAAGGGAAACGCUUUAGUGCUUAAGGAUGGGUCUGUAUGGUAUCAGCUUGUUGGUGAGGUAAUGGCUCACCAAGGCUAUGACGCCUAACUGGUUUGAGAGGAUGAUCAGUCACACUGGAACUGAGACACGGUCCAGACUCCUACGGGAGGCAGCAGUGGGGAAUAUUGCACAAUGGACGAAAGUCUGAUGCAGCAGCGCCGCGUGGAGGAUGACACAUUUCGGUGCGUAAACUCCUUUUAUAUAGGAAGAUAAUGACGGUACUAUAUGAAUAAGCACCGGCUAACUCCGUGCCAGCCGCCGCAGUAA
rnacentral:rRNA from 1 species